rnacentral:lncRNA from 1 species
UUUCAUCACAAUCAUUAAAUUUUCAACACAAGUCAUUUAUAUUAUAUAUUUUAAGAUUUAAGUUGAAUUAGAAUUUUGAAAUUUCAUCACAAAUCAUUUAAUUUCAUAAAAAAGAAUACAAAAAAAAAUUGAAAAAAAAGGAAAAAGCCCGGAACUGCCGGUUUUCGGCUCGGCCCGGAACCGCUGGUUCAGGGUCAGA